rnacentral:rRNA from 1 species
GAUAGGCUAAUUAAGAGCGUAAGGGGGAUACCUUGGCUCUCAGAGGCGAUGAAGGACGUGAUAAGCUGCGAAAAGUUACGGGGAGUGGCACAUACAUUUUGAUCCGUAAAUGUCCGAAUGGGGAAACCCGAUUAUUUGAAGAAUAAUCAUCCAUACUUGUAUGGAAGCAAACCCGGAGAACUGAAACAUCUAAGUACCCGGAGGAAUAGAAAACAAUAGUGAUUCUGCUAGUAGCGGCGAGCGAACGCGGAACAGCCCAAACCUAAAUUGUUUCGGCAAUUUAGGGGUUGUAGGACCACGACAUUUAUUGCUUGAUGAAUUAGAAUCCGUUGGAAAUCGGAAUCAUAGAGGGUGAUAGUCCCGUAUAAGUAAAGAAAGUUAAUAAUAGUGGUAUCCUGAGUAAUGCGGGGCACGGGAAACCUUGCAUGAAUUUGGCGGG